rnacentral:rRNA from 1 species
GACAGAGGAUGCAAACGUUGCUCGGAAUUACUGGGCGUAAAGCGUGCGCAGGCGGUUUUGUAAGCCAGAUGUGAAAUCCCCGGGCUUAACCUGGGAACUGCAUUUGGGACUGCAAGGCUUGAGUGCGGCAGAGGAGACUGGAAUUCCUGGUGUAGCAGUGAAAUGCGUAGAUAUCAGGAGGAAUACCGAUGGCGAAGGCAGGUCUCUGGGCUGACACUGACGCUGAGAAGCGAAAGCAUGGGGAGCGAACAGG